rfam:Rattus norvegicus chromosome 14, whole genome shotgun sequence.
GGGGAUUUAGCUCAGCGGUAGAGCGCUUGCCUAGCAAGCCCUGGGUUCGGUUCCCAGCUCCA